AUACGUAGGUGGCAAGCGUUGUCCGGAAUUACUGGGCGUAAAGGAUGCGUAGGCGGACAUUUAAGUCAGGGGUGAAACCCCGGGGCUCAACCUCGGAACUGCCUUUGAUACUGGGUGUCUAGAGUGUGGGAGAGGAAAGUGGAAUUCCUAGUGUAGCGGUGAAAUGCGUAGAGAUUAGGAAGAACACCAGUGGCGAAGGCGACUUUCUGGACCGUAACUGACGCUGAGGCAUGAAAGCGUGGGUAGC
rnacentral:rRNA from 1 species